UUUGUUUCUCACGUCUGAAAAACCCACCCCCCGCUGCCCGACCUCUCCAUCUCCCUCCACUCCGACCGACGAGCCCAGCCGCUGACGACUCUCCACCGCGCCGCCGCCGCCGCUGUCCCUCUUUCUGUGGCGUACUACUGGAAGGGAAGGUCGAAGCACGGUAAACUUGCAAAAAUUGAAUCGCCCACCCGAAGCUCCAUUGCCAAGAAGUUGAAACUGACCUUGAUGGUGGAGAUACAAGAUGUCCUGAUAUUUUCCCAUCCAAACUAGCUGAGUUGUUGGAAAGUGUCGCGAUGACUGGUUGACGUAGGAGAAGUUCAAGCGGACAUGACUACGGCCAAGAAAUAGUAAAGAGAAGGUGAAGUUACUGCAGCAAGCAAAGAAGCUGUUCAGAUUAAAAAAAAUCAAAGAGGCUGUUACUGUUCCAAUGGUGUUCGUGAAUUCAAUUUUGCUCAUCAACUCUUCAAAAAUGAAUUAUCUCAAUCCAUCUGGUUGUAAUGUACUCUUGGAUGUAACAGAUUCGAGAUCAACAGAAAAUGAAUUAUCUCAAUUGUAUCUAUGUUAGAGCUAUGUAAUGGAAGUUUAUUGGAAGUUUUUUCUCUUUUCUGAAGCCAUGUAUCAAUAGUAUGGUUUCUUCUCUUUUUUUGUGGACUGUAAGGUGAUGCUAGCAUUAGUAAUGUCAUGCUACCAUUAGUAAUGAAUGGGUGAAAUAUAUAGAUGCCCCUUUUGAA